rnacentral:misc_RNA from 1 species
AAAAAAAAAAAAAAAAAGGAUUGCAGGCACUGGAUGGACUUGCUGGUAGGUGGCGCAAGUGAGAGGAGAAGAAAUAUAGAAGAAGAGUAGAAAAGAGAGAGGAAAGAAGGUGAAGAGUAGAGAGAGGAAGGAAGAACAUACCUGGUCUGCUCUAUUUCUCUGCUCUUCUCUGGUGGUGGAAGUUUGUUUUACUUUUAUGUGAUGUAGAACAAAGAAAAAGAACCAACAAGAAGGAGGAGAAAUCAAGGACUAAUCCUUGCAAAGAGAAAUAAUUCUCUAAAAUAUUAUUGAGCUUAUAAAAUUGUAAUAACAAAAUUUGUCUAAUAAUGAUAGAAAUCUUAGAUCUUAUUAUAGAAUUAGGAAUCUCAAUCAUAUUAGGAUUUUAGAACUCUAAUUUAACCUUAAUUAGGAAUACUAAAUAAAAUA